rnacentral:rRNA from 1 species
GAUGAACGCUAGCGGCAGGCCUAACACAUGCAAGUCGAGGGGUAGAGGAAGCUUGCUUCCUUGAGACCGGCGCACGGGUGCGUAACGCGUAUGCAAUCUGCCUUGUACUGAGGGAUAGCCCAGAGAAAUUUGGAUUAAUACCUCAUAGCAUUAUGAAACCGCAUGGUUUUAUAAUUAAAGUUCCAACGGUACAAGAUGAGCAUGCGUCCCAUUAGUUAGUUGGUAAGGUAACGGCUUACCAAGACGAUGAUGGGUAGGGGUCCUGAGAGGGAGAUCCACCACACUGGUACUGAGACACGGACCAGACUCCUACGGGAGGCAGCAGUGAGGAAUAUUGGUCAAUGGACGCAAGUCUGAACCAGCCAUGCCGCGUGCAGGAUGAAGCAUCUAUGGUGUGUAAACUGCUUUUGUACGGGAAGAAACACUCCUACGUGUAGGAGCUUGACGGUACCGUAAGAAUAAGGAUCGGCUAACUCCGUGCCAGCAGCCGCCGUAAGAC